AACGCUAGCUACAGGCUUAACACAUGCAAGUCGAGGGGCAGCACGAACUUAGCUUGCUAAGUUUGAUGGCGACCGGCGCACGGGUGAGUAACACGUAUCCAACCUGCCGAUGACUCGGGGAUAGCCUUUCGAAAGAAAGAUUAAUACCCGAUGGCAUAAUUCUUCCGCAUGGUAGAAUUAUUAAAGAAUUUCGGUCAUCGAUGGGGAUGCGUUCCAUUAGGUUGUUGGCGGGGUAACGGCCCACCAAGCCUUCGAUGGAUAGGGGUUCUGAGAGGAAGGUCCCCCACAUUGGAACUGAGACACGGUCCAAACUCCUACGGGAGGCAGCAGUGAGGAAUAUUGGUCAAUGGACGAGAGUCUGAACCAGCCAAGUAGCGUGAAGGAUGACUGCCCUAUGGGUUGUAAACUUCUUUUAUACGGGAAUAAAGUGAAGCACGCGUGCCUUUUCGUAUGUACCGUAUGAAUAAGGAUCGGCUAACUCCGUGCCAGCAGCCGCGGUAAUACGGAGGAUCCGAGCGUUAUCCGGAUUUAUUGGGUUUAAAGGGAGCGUAGGCGGACGCUUAAGUCAGUUGUGAAAGUUUGCGGCUCAACCGUAAAAUUGCAGUUGAUACUGGGUGUCUUGAGUACAGUAGAGGCAGGCGGAAUUCGUGGUGUAGCGGUGAAAUGCUUAGAUAUCACGAAGAACUCCGAUUG
rnacentral:rRNA from 1 species